GGAAUAUUGCGCAAUGGGGGAAACCCUGACGCAGCGACGCCGCGUGGGUGAGGAAGGCUUUCGGGUCGUAAAACCCUGUCAGGAGGGAAGAAAUGCUUACAGGCUAAUAUCUUGUAAGUUUGACGGUACCUUCAAAGGAAGCACCGGCUAACUCCGUGCCAGCAGCCGCGGUAAUACGGAGGGUGCAAGCGUUGUUCGGAAUCACUGGGCGUAAAGGGCGCGUAGGCGGCUUGGCAAGUCAGAUGUGAAAGCCCACGGCUUAACCGUGGAAGUGCAUUUGAAACUGCUUGGCUUGAGUAUCAGAGGGGAAAGUGGAAUUCCCGGUGUAGAGGUGAAAUUCGUAGAUAUCGGGAGGAAUACCGGUGGCGAAGGCGACUUUCUGGCUGAAUACUGACGCUGAGGCGCGAAAGCGUGGGGAGCAAACAGGAUUA
rnacentral:rRNA from 1 species